rnacentral:rRNA from 1 species
GAUGAACGCUGGCGGCGUGCCUAAUACAUGCAAGUCGAGCGAACGGACGAGAAGCUUGCUUCUCUGAUGUUAGCGGCGGACGGGUGAGUAACACGCGGAUAACCUACCUAUAAGACUGGGAUAACUUCGGGAAACCGGAGCUAAUACCGGAUGAUAUUUUGAACCGCAUGGUUCAAAAGUGAAAGACGGUCUUGCUGUCACUUAUAGAUGGAUCCGCGCUGCAUUAGCUAGUUGGUAAGGUAACGGCUUACCAAGGCAACGAUGCAUAGCCGACCUGAGAGGGUGAUCGGCCACACUGGAACUGAGACACGGUCCAGACUCCUACGGGAGGCAGCAGUAGGGAAUCUUCCGCAAUGGGCGAAAGCCUGACGGAGCAACGCCGCGUGAGUGAUGAAGGUCUUCGGAUCGUAAAACUCUGUUAUUAGGGAAGAACAUAUGUGUAAGUAACUGUGCACAUCUUGACGGUACCUAAUCAGAAAGCCACGGCUAACUACGUG